CAUGCUAGCAGAGUUCAGACCGGAGCCGAUAUUAGCGUGGCUUUUCAACGAUGCUGACAACUGAGGGACCCCAAGGGACUGAAAAGUGACACCAUGCUUUAUUUCUGCCAACAGAUUGGACAUAAGGCAUUUUUGUGUAUGGCCAGGAGGACACAGCAUAUGAGGCACAAGUCAGGAAUAAUGAGAAAGGUAACAGCACAGGAGAUUGGACAUUUUUGUGCAUUGCCAGGAGGACACAGCAUAAGAGGUACAAGUCAGGAAAAAUUAUAAAG